UAUAUUCUAUACUACUAUUAUUAGCUAUGUAUAAUUGAAUGUUAAUUGAAAGCAAUAUCAUCAUUAUUGCUGUGAUUAUUAUGGUUACUUAUAUAUGAUAGAAUAGUUAUUUAUAUUGUAACUACCAGCAAUAUUACUAUUAUUAGUUACAUAUUAUUGAAAGCAUCAAAGCAGCAUAGGCUUUUUAUAAAUAUUUUUGCUCAUCUUUGUGACAAUUCUCCAGGGUUGGUAUUGCUCCUCUAUUUAACAGAUUAGAUAAAUGAGGCUCUAAGACCAGACUGACCUAAUAACAGGUAACUUGAACGUCUCAAAGUGGCAAUUCACACGUAAAUCUCCGUGACUCAUGAAUUAUCACAGUCCUAAGUUGGUUCUUUUCAUGAUUUUUCUGAAGUUGCUAGAAGUUUACAGAAAGGAAGGGCCAGCACAUUUCACAAAUCUAUAACCUGUAAGUAUCACAUCCUGUAUAGCUGCGAACACUGGAAUAAGGAAGGGCGGAUGACUUUCAGAAGAUGAAGGUAAGUAGAAACCAUUGGUGGGACUGUCUAAGAACCCAGACACUGUCCAGCUCCCUGCUGGGAGCUUCUGAGGAUUCAGCUGGAACCAACGGGCACAGUUGGCAGUAUCAUCAUGACAUCACAACCUGUUCCCGAUGAGACCAUCAUAGUGCCCCCAUCAAAUGUCACCAACUUCUCCCAAGCAGAGAAACCUGAAACCACCAACCAGGGACAGCAUAGCCUGAAGAAGCGUCUACAGGCAAAAGUCAAAGUUAUUGGGAUUAUCCAGAUCUUGUGUGGUAUGAAGGUGUUAAGCUUGGGAAUCAUUUUGGCAUCUGUUUCCUUCUCUCCAAAUUUUACACAAGUGAUUUCUACGCUGCUGAAGUCUGCUUACCCAUUCAUAGGACCCUUGUGGUUUGUCAUCUCUGGCAUUCUAUCAAUUGUCACAGAGAAAAGGUUAACCAAGUUUUUGGUGCACAGCAGCCUGGCUGGAAGCAUUCUGAGCACUCUGUCUGCUUUGGUGGGUUUCAGUAUCCUGUCUGUCAACCUGGCUGCAUUAAAUCCUGCCUCACUGCAGUGUGAGUUGGACAAAAAGAGUACCAAAUAUACCAAGCAGACGUUUUCUUUAUUAUGAUUAUGAAUCACCUUAUACCAUGAACUGCUGCUAUAGAGACAAAGCCAGUCUGGCUGGAACUCUGUCUCUGAUGUUGAUUUGUACUGCAGUGGAGUUCUGCCUGGCUGUGCUCACUGCUGUGCUGCGGUGGAUACAGACUCAGUCUGACUUCCCCGGAGUGUGCUUUUCCUGCCUCACGGUUACAUUGAUAAAUCGGUGUGUCCUCAAAGAUGACUCAUGACCCUGGAUAUGAAGAACCAUUGACUUCUUAGGAAGAAAGGGAGAAGUAGUAAUUGGAAAGUUGAUUCUAAUGAUAACAUGGAAAACCUAACCAUUAUCAAAAAGCAAACUUUAGUUUCCUACAUGUAAACAGUUAAAUUAAUGAAUAUU